CCAUGCUGAAGAUCCUCAAUUGCUAUUAAUUUCACUAGAGCUUCAUUUCUUGUGGCCUGACCUGAAGAGGCAGUAUGUCUAGUGACAACAGCAGGGGCCUUUAAGUCAAAAAAUAUGGGUUCCAUUAACUUAGCUUUUGGCCAAGUCACUGAACAGCUGUUUCCCUAACUGUAAAAUAAACAAAAAUAACCACCUUUGUAAAAUUCUUUGAGAUCCUUGGAUGAAAUACAGCUAGAAGGAAGAAGCUGCAGAAAUCUGGACACAGGAUUCCAACUCAGGCCUUGCAGUGGUAAAAAGGAACUGGAAAGGUAUUGGCCUGCACAACCUCUUACACCCUCUGUCUGGAACAUGAGGAGAGCAACUGCACUUGUGUGGGCCAAAGGACACUACAUGUUGUUAAUCUCCAGACUCUAAUGGCAUACAUGCAUAUCCAUGUGUGAAGUACACAUUGGGACCAGCACUUGAAGAACACAUCCUUCCUAAACAGGGACAGCUAGCGUAUAUGCAAUAGAACUGGAGUGGACUCUGUCAUGAGAUCUUUCACCCUUCACAACCUGCUUAUAGAGCAUUAGACUGUAUGAAGAUAUUACAGCAGAAAGUUUGGGCACACUUGCCCAGGGAAAGUUCAUACCAUACCUGCAUUCUUAGAAGAGACAGCAGUGUUGUAGUCGACUCCAAUGAUCCCAGAUACCCAGAACUAAAUAAAACCCACAACACAACAAGUUUGCUAAGCAGCCUGUGUUCACUUACCACGACAAGUAUCUCUAGAGAAUGGAGCCGGGGCUUCCAUCUGGUAAGAGGACAACAAGGCUUAGAGUGAACAGAACCUCAGCCCCAAACUAACUUGGCUCUCACAAUGGAUGUUUUCUUUGACAUGAAAAAAAACCCAGCAGAGUUUUCGAAGUUAAGAUGGACCUUUGCCAAAAGCCUGUGAUCCAGACAAUAGGGUCCUGAACCAUAUUUAUAUUGGAGCACAUCCUUCAUUAGGCAUUUACACUUCCAGUAAUUAAGGUAUAUCAAACAAUGAAAAGGCUGAAAAAACAUACGACAAGGAAGAUCCCAUGAAAGAGAAGAGGAGGAGGAGAACUGAAGAAAGAAAUUCCUUUA